CCACAACCCAAACCAAACUGUGAUCGCUCUGGCCUGAGACACAAGAAAACCAAGGACAAACCAAAGGUAGAAACUACUCCUUCUCUGAGGAAACUAUUCUAAUGAUAGCAUUCCAAAUAGCCAGUGUAGCUACAGCUAAGAGGAGGCAAAUAUUUGUCUAAAAUGCUGUACUGUAGUGCUGAAAUAAUGACUUGCUCUUUUAUCUGGGGCUGCUUUCCAGAUAAAAAAGUUAAAGUACCAUCAGUACAUCCCUCCUGAUCAGAAGGGAGAUAAAGAGCCUCCUCCUCAUCUGGAUUCAUCCUAUGCCAAGAUCCUCCAGCAGCAGCAGCUCUUCUUGCAGCUCCAGAUCCUCAGUCAGCAGCAGCAGCGCUACCACACCAUCCUCCCUGCACCAACUAAAUCCCAGACAGCUCAGCAGCCAUCUUCCUCCUCUAAGUCUAUGCACACCUCCUCCUCCCCACCUCGACCUGCUGGUGCACCUUUAGACUUCUCUAAACAUUACAUCCACACCUGUCUAAGUUCUGUCCCGCUAGGUGGAACGAAACCAGUGUCUCUGCCUCCAAACCUCGAUGAAAUGAAGGUUGCGGAACUGAAGUCCGAAUUAAAGCUGCGUAACUUGCCCGUCUCCGGCACCAAAAAUGACCUCAUUGAGAGGCUGAGGACAUAUCAGGAACUAAGCCGAGGCAGUGACACUACCUCCUCUCCAACAGCAGGGUGUACCACAGGGCCAGGGGGCUGAAGGAGCAGGAAAAAUCAUCCAAGAGCGCUGCAAUCAUCAUCACCAGUAACAAUACACGCAUAGAGGUUAUCAUAGUAAGUGUAUAUAAACUUUCUGUUAACUGUCUAAUACCACCCUUUCUUUACAUUUUUGUGUAGCUGAAGCGGGCAGCAGUGGGAGCCUAAAUGCAGCAAAACCUCAACAGUUCAUGACCUGCAAUGGGAGCCUUGCCUCUUCAGCUGUCUCCUUCAUUCCCUCACCGACUGCCAUGAGUCCAGAAGACAUCAGCUUUAACAGUGACCUCUUAGGGGAGCUGAUGAGUUCACCUCUCAACCAGUUGAGCCUCCAGCCAUCUUCAGUUGCUCAGCUCUCCACAAACAUUAAAAAAGAGCGUCGAUGCUCGACUCCCGCUCCUUGUCAAUACUCUUUAAAGUCUGCCUCUCUGCAAAGACACUCCUCAGUAUCUUCAGGUGUCCCGGCCACUACGAGCACAGCUCCUGUACUGAGUGUUGAUAAAGACAGAUUGCUGCAGGAGAAAGAUAAGCAGAUAGAGGCGCUGACCAGGAUGUUGUGGCAGAAACAGAGAUUGGUGGAGGUGCUAAAAAUGCAGCUGGAAAAUGGAGACAGAGGAAAGGCUCCAGAGCCAAUCAGUCCUCUCGGGGUAAAAGAAGAACCUCUCGAUGAGCCCGAUGUUGCCUUCUCAAUGGACUUUGAUCGAUUUCCCUCUCAAAAAUCACCUAUUUCACAAGAGAUGGAUAUUACCAAGGUAAUUGUGAAACAGGAAGUAAUCGAGGAAGAAGAAGUUAAACCUGAGAAAACUUUCCAGUCCCCAGUCACUCAUGGAUUGCUGCAGUCCUCAACCCAAACACAGGAGGAGCAGCUGGCUCAACAACACACCAUACAGAAAGUCCUGCUGCAGCAGCAGCAGCACAACAUCCAGAACCAGAAUCAGACGCUGGAGAAUCAACAUGACCUGCAGAAACUUUGUCAGCAGAGAAAGAAAAAAUCUCAAAACCAGCAAAAGCAGCUGCUGCUGCAGUCACAACAGCAGCAUCAGCAGUCAAAGCAUGUGCAACAGAUGCAGCUGAAGCAACAGCUUCUGCUGAAGCAACAAAAGUCACACAUGUUGCCACAGCAAAUGAAGACUAAACAACAGACUAAACAACUACAGCAAAUCCAGAUUCAGACCAAAAUACAGCUGAAGCAGCAACAGGUGCUCAAACAGCAGAAACAGCAGGUGAAGCAGCAGCAGCAGCCAUCUAAGGUGCCUCAAGCAUACCUGAAACAGCAGUCAGGCUCAAGUGCCUCUUUCUCACUGGACCACCUUAAGAUUGACUCCACCCCAACCCUGGUCACUGACACCAACGGUAACCAUUUUCUGAUCGCGCUGACCAAUCACCCUGACUGGAAACAAAAUAAAGGCCCCUGCUGAGGGAAAAGCAACCAAUCACAUUACACUGCAGCGACUCCAGUCUACUCCAGCCAAACUUCCAGGCCACAACCGUGUUAAGCUGUCCAGAGCUGAUAGUAAAGCUCAGCAAAGCAUUCAAGUGAAGUUUGUGAAAAAGCACACUAAG
rnacentral:lncRNA from 1 species